rnacentral:rRNA from 1 species
UACGUAGGUGGCUAGCGUUGUCCGGAUUUACUGGGCGUAAAGAGCGUGUAGGCGGCCAGGUAGGUCUGCUGUGAAAACUCGGGGCUUAACUCCGGGCCUGCAGUGGGUACGGGCUGACUAGAGUGCGGUAGGGGGAGACUGGAAUUCCUGGUGUAGCGGUGAAAUGCGCAGAUAUCAGGAGGAACACCGAUGGCGAAGGCAGGUCUCUGGGCCAUUACUGACGCUGAGAAGCGAAAGCAUGGGGAGCGAACAGG